CGAGGAUGAUCAUGGCUCAGAUUGAACGCUGGCGGUAUGCUUAACACAUGCAAGUCGAACGAUGAUUUUCCAGCUUGCUGGAAAUGAUUAGUGGCGGACGGGUGCGUAACGCGUGGGAAUCUACCUUGUAGUGGGGGAUAGCCCGGAGAAAUCCGGAUUAAUACCGCAUAAUCUCUACGGAGCAAAGUGGGGGAUCUUCGGACCUCACGCUAUUAGAUGAGCCCGCGUUAGAUUAGCUUGUUGGUGAGGUAAUGGCUCACCAAGGCAACGAUCUAUAGCUGGUUUGAGAGGAUGAUCAGCCACACUGGGACUGAGACACGGCCCAGACUCCUACGGGAGGCAGCAGUGGGGAAUAUUGGACAAUGGGCGCAAGCCUGAUCCAGCAAUACCGCGUGUGUGAAGAAGGCCUGAGGGUUGUAAAGCACUUUCAAUAGAGACGAAAAGUUGACGUUACCAAUAGAAUAAGCACCGGCUAACUCUGUGCCAGCAGCCGCGGUAAUACAGAGGGUGCGAGCGUUAAUCGGAAUUACUGGGCGUAAAGCGUGCGCAGGCGGCUUUUUAAGACAGGUGUGAAAUCCCCGGGCUUAACCUGGGAAUGGCGCUUGUGACUGGAAGGCUAGAGUGCGGCAGAGGGGGAUGGAAUUCCUGGUGUAGCAGUGAAAUGCGUAGAUAUCAGGAGGAACACCGAUGGCGAAGGCAGUCCCCUGGGUCGACACUGACGCUCAGGCACGAAAGCGUGGGGAGCAAACAGGAUUAGAUACCCUGGUAGUCCACGCCCUAAACGAUGUCAACUAGUUGUUGGGGAAGGAGACUUCUUUAGUAACGUAGCUAACGCGUGAAGUUGACCGCCUGGGGAGUACGGCCGCAAGGUUAAAACUCAAAGGAAUUGACGGGGACCCGCACAAGCGGUGGAUGAUGUGGAUUAAUUCGAUGCAACGCGAAAAACCUUACCUACCCUUGACAUGCCAGGAACUUGCCAGAGAUGGCUUGGUGCCCGAAAGGGAGCCUGGACACAGGUGCUGCAUGAUGGCUGUCGUCAGCUCGUGUCGUCAGAUGUUGGGUUAAGUCCCGCAACGAGCGCAACCCUUGUCAUUAAUUGCCAUCAUUUAGUUGGGCACUUUAAUGAGACUGCCGGUGAUAAACCGGAGGAAGGUGGGGAUGACGUCAAGUCCUCAUGGCCCUUAUGGGUAGGGCUUCACACGUAAUACAAUGGCGCGUACAGAGGGUUGCCAAGCCGCGAGGUGGAGCUAAUCCCAGAAAGCGCGUCGUAGUCCGGAUUGCACUCUGCAACUCGAGUGCAUGAAGUCGGAAUCGCUAGUAAUCGCGGAUCAGAAUGUCGCGGUGAAUACGUUCCCGGGUCUUGUACACACCGCCCGUCACACCAUGGGAGUGGACUCUGCCAGAAGUAGGUAGCCUAACCGUAAGGAGGGCGCUUACCACGGUGGGUUUCAUGACUGGGGUGAAGUCGUAACAAGGUAACC
rnacentral:rRNA from 1 species